rnacentral:lncRNA from 1 species
CUGUUGUAAGAUUCAGCAGGGUCUUUAUCUUUUUAAAAGUAUCACAUUUUUUGUUUUCUUUAUUUUGCAGUAAACAUAAAAGAGAGCAAGAUCAUUCUCGAUCUUCAUCCUCUUCAGCAUCACCUUCUUCUCCCAGUUCUCGAGAAGAAAAGGAGAGUAAGAAGGAAAGAGAAGAAGAAUUUAAAACUCACCAUGAAAUGAAAGAAUACUCAGGCUUUGCAGGAGUUAGCCGACCACGAGGAACCUUUUUUCGAAUUAGAGGCAGAGGAAGAGCCAGAGGAGUUUUUGCUGGGACAAAUACUGGUCCAAACAACUCAAAUACUACUUUUCAAAAGAGACCGAAGGAAGAGGAAUGGGAUCCAGAAUAUACCCCAAAGAGCAAGAAGUACUUCUUGCAUGACGACAGAGAUGAUGGUGUGGAUUAUUGGGCCAAAAGAGGAAGAGGUCGUGGUACUUUUCAACGUGGCAGAGGGCGCUUUAACUUCAAAAAAUCAGGUAGCAGUCCUAAAUGGACUCAUGACAAAUACCAAGGGGAUGGGAUUGUUGAAGAUGAAGAAGAGACCAUGGAAAAU